UCCUCUGUACCUCAGUUGGUUAGAGCGCUGCACCGGAAUUGCAGGGCUGCAGGUUUGAUUCCUGCCAGAGGAC